rnacentral:rRNA from 1 species
UGCAAGUCGAACGCUUCUUUUUCACCGGAGCUUGCUCCACCGGAAAAAGAGGAGUGGCGAACGGGUGAGUAACACGUGGGUAACCUGCCCAUCAGAAGGGGAUAACACUUGGAAACAGGUGCUAAUACCGUAUAACAAUCGAAACCGCAUGGUUUUGAUUUGAAAGGCGCUUUCGGGUGUCGCUGAUGGAUGGACCCGCGGUGCAUUAGCUAGUUGGUGAGGUAACGGCUCACCAAGGCCACGAUGCAUAGCCGACCUGAGAGGGUGAUCGGCCACAUUGGGACUGAGACACGGCCCAAACUCCUACGGGAGGCAGCAGUAGGGAAUCUUCGGCAAUGGACGAAAGUCUGACCGAGCAACGCCGCGUGAGUGAAGAAGGUUUUCGGAUCGUAAAACUCUGUUGUUAGAGAAGAACAAGGAUGAGAGUAACUGUUCAUCCCUUGACGGUAUCUAACCAGAAAGCCACGGCUAACUACGUGCCAGCAGCCGCGGUAAUACGUAGGUGGCAAGCGUUGUCCGGAUUUAUUGGGCGUAAAGCGAGCGCAGGCGGUUUCUUAAGUCUGAUGUGAAAGCCCCCGGCUCAACCGGGGAGGGUCAUUGGAAACUGGGAGACUUGAGUGCAGAAGAGGAGAGUGGAAUUCCAUGUGUAGCGGUGAAAUGCGUAGAUAUAUGGAGGAACACCAGUGGCGAAGGCGGCUUUUUGGUCUGUAACUGACGCUGAGGCUCGAAAGCGUGGGGAGCAAACAGGAUUAGAUACCCUGGUAGUCCACGCCGUAAACGAUGAGUGCUAAGUGUUGGAGGGUUUCCGCCCUUCAGUGCUGCAGCUAACGCAUUAAGCACUCCGCCUGGGGAGUACGACCGCAAGGUUGAAACUCAAAGGAAUUGACGGGGGCCCGCACAAGCGGUGGAGCAUGUGGUUUAAUUCGAAGCAACGCGAAGAACCUUACCAGGUCUUGACAUCCUUUGACCACUCUAGAGAUAGAGCUUCCCCUUCGGGGGCAAAGUGACAGGUGGUGCAUGGUUGUCGUCAGCUCGUGUCGUGAGAUGUUGGGUUAAGUCCCGCAACGAGCGCAACCCUUAUUGUU